rnacentral:snRNA from 1 species
GGAAGUGAGGGUGAUCUGGCUUUGACAUUUGUCACCCCAUUGAUCACCAGGGUGGAUUCAGCUGAUCUGGCUGGCUAGGCGGGUGUCCCCUUCCUUCCUCAACACUCCAUGUGUAUGUCCUUCCCAAAGCUGCACGCUCCAUCGAAGAGGACGACCUUCCUUGAAAGGGGAGGACGGGUCAAGGGUAUACGAGUAGCUGCACUCCCCUGCUAGAACCUCCAAACAAGCUCUCAAAUAAGAAGUAAGAAUGUAGAUUAGUCAAGAUGUUUCAUUGUGAAAGAUGAAUAUGGAAUUGAGGGGAUGAGCUCCUAAGGCAGUAGUGUGUUUCAGUGU